AUGACCGGGCUCGUCGGCACGCCGUACUACGUGGCGCCCGAGGUGGUGGCCGGGAGGGAGUACGGCGAGAAGGUGGACGUGUGGAGCGCCAGGGUGAUGCUCCGCAAAGGAGCUCAGCGGCGACAGCGAGACGGCCGUCCUCCGCCGCUUGGGCACCGGUGGCCAGUCGCGGUACAGGGGAGACCCGCCGGUCUCCUCGUCGUCCGGGCGGUCCUCCCGCUCGAGCUUGGGCGCGAGGCGGUGCGGGACCGAGGGGGCCUGGCGGAGGAGCUUGGCGAGGCGGCGGAGGGAGCCGGAGAGCGGCGGCGGCGGCGAGGGCCUGGGGCAGUCGGCCCGGAGGGACUGGAUUGCUUUUUUUAA
rnacentral:rRNA from 1 species